rnacentral:lncRNA from 1 species
AGAACCGUCCCGAGACUGCAGGAGACUCUUCUCAGCUCUGUGGCCCACACUGUCCCCUUGUGGCUGCUGGCUGUCAGGGCCGCCUAGGGGCCCUGAAAUGAAGCAGUCUUCCUCUUUCCCACCCAGGGGGUUCCUCAUCAUCCAGGGACCCCUGACCCAGGGCAGGGCUGAUUUAGACCAUCCGUGGCUACCCUUCCAAGCUAGCCCAUCCGAGAGACAGAGUUUUCACACAGCAUUCUCCAGUAGGCUCCUCAGACCUGAACAACAAGGGACAUUCCCAGCCUUGAGUUCAACCCCUCUCUCUGGCACCUGUGGGUUCAGUAAAUACUUAUCGACUGACUCAUGAAAAGACAGGAAAUGGACACGUCUGUGGCCCUACCUUUCCCUGCUCAAACAUUUUACUGUGCUGCCUUUUCAGUCUGGCUUACCAGCCCUUCCACCGUCCAGCCAACGUACCUCUCUCCUUGCAGUGCCCUGAUAUUCCGUGAGCUUGCCUGUCUCCAUGUUUUUGCCAGGCCUGCUCCUUCUGCCUGGAAUACUCUCCUCCUUCAAUUACUCCCAGUUAAAAUCCUUCCCCUCCUUUAAGACCCAUGACACUUCCUUCAUGAAGCCUUCCAAGAUUUCCUAAGGGAGCGGGUUCUACUUUUUAUUUGAAUCUCCAUAGAACUUUGACUCUCCUUUGAAGCUUACAACCUGCUUCAUCUCUAUCCUAGAUUGUAAGCACCGAGAGUGCAAGCUUUGUAUUUGUUUCAUCUUUGUGUCCCUCUCUCUCACCCCCUAGACAGAGCUUUGCCUAUAUAGUGGGUGCUCAGUAAACAUGUCUUGAAUUGAGUGAAGUGGAGCCUGCAGUUUGGGCCGCUGGGAGCCAAAGGAGAUGGGAAUGGGGUGCUCCGAGGCUUCAGGACACUAAAGGAGUGUUUUCAGAAGUGGGAGGCAAGGACCUCUACAGGGAGGGGAGUGAGGAAUCUGGGCCUCCUCAGGACCUCUCCUGGGGGGAGGAGCACUUUGCGGAAGAGAACAGUCAGCGGGAGAGCCUUGGAGAUGCUGUGGGUUGAGGAACGGCACCAGGUGCGGGGAAAAUUACAGGUUGGCCCCAGUGGCAGGCAAAAAAAGGGGUAGGAAUCUGGAGGCAUGGAUUCUGGUCACGUCUCCUUCUCCCUCUAGCUGUGUAGUCUUGGGCAAGUUACUUCCCCUCUCUGAACUUNGGAGUGUUUUCAGAAGUGGGAGGCAAGGACCUCUACGGGGAAAAUUACAGGUUGGCCCCAGUGCCAGACGUGAUGGACCCCAACUAUCUGCAUCCUUAGUGGCAGGCAAAAAAAGGGGUAGGAAUCUGGAGGCAUGGAUUCUGGUCACGUCUCCUUCUCCCUCUAGCUGUGUAGUCUUGGGCAAGUUACUUCCCCUCUCUGAACUUAUUCAUCUGUAAAAUAGUACCUGACUUCCCAUGACCUGUUCAGCUCUGCUAUUCUGACUUCACGUCGAGGUUCUGAAGCAGAGGGGUGAUGGUCAAUGGGGACUGGUACAUGAGCCCCCUCAGGCCUGAGCACCAGGAAUAAGCCCACCCAGGUGCUGGACCAGAGCAGGUGACAGAGUCCAAAGCCAUGAAGAAGGAGGCGUGUGACUUGGGUAAGCUGUGGCCUGGCUUGGAGGAUGUGGAGGUGGGUGGCAGGGGGAGACAACACCCCCAAUUCAGAGCAAGUAAAGUGCCCAGUUAGCAGGCCCCAGGGAAGGGUUUUUGGGACCCCCUUUCUUUUGCCGUGCUUCUCUGUCCUCUUCCUUGCCCCAUCCCCUGACUUAGUAAAUAAAGAUCUGGAAUUUGAAUCCCA